rnacentral:rRNA from 1 species
AUUGAACGCUGGCGGCAGGCCUAACACAUGCAAGUCGAACGAGUGGCGGACGGGUGAGUAAUGUCUGGGAAACUGCCUGAUGGAGGGGGAUAACUACUGGAAACGGUAGCUAAUACCGCAUACCAUCGGAUGUGCCCAGAUGGGCUUAGCUAGUUGGUGGGGUAAAGGCUCACCUAGGCGACGAUCCCUAGCUGGUCUGAGAGGAGGACCAGCCACACUGGAACUGAGACACGGUCCAGACUCCUACGGGAGGCAGCAGUGGGGAAUAGUGCACAAUGGGGGCAAGCCUGAGGCAGCCAUGCCGCGUGUAUGAAGAAGGCCUUCGGGUUGUAAAGUUCUUUCAGCGGGGAGGCGUUAACCGCAGAAGAAGCACCGGCUAACUCCGUGCCAGCAGCCGCGGUAAUAC